rnacentral:rRNA from 1 species
AUUGAACGCUGGCGGCAGGCCUAACACAUGCAAGUCGAGCGGAUGAAGGGAGCUUGCUCCUGGAUUCAGCGGCGGACGGGUGAGUAAUGCCUAGGAAUCUGCCUGGCUGUGGGGUAUAACGUCCGGAAACGGGCGCUAAUACCGCAUACGUCCUGAGGGAGAAAGGGGGGGAUCUUGGGACCUUACGCUAUUAGAUGAGUCUAGGUCGGAUUAGCUAGUUGGUGGGGUAAAGGCCUACCAAGGCGACGAUCCGUAACUGGUCUGAGAGGAUGAUCAGUCACACUGGAACUGAGACACGGUCCAGACUCCUACGGGAGGCAGCAGUGGGGAAUAUUGGACAAUGGGCGAAAGCCUGAUCCAGCCAUGCCGCGUGUGUGAAGAAGGUCUUCGGAUUGUAAAGCACUUUAAGUUGGGAGGAAGGGCAGUAAGUUAAUACCUUGCUGUUUUGACGUUACCAACAGAAUAAGCACCGGCUAACUUCGUG